rnacentral:rRNA from 1 species
AUUGAACGCUGGCGGCAGGCCUAACACAUGCAAGUCGAGCGAGCGGAGGACGGGUGUGAAAUGUCUGGGAAACUGCCUGAUGGAGGGGGAUAACUACUGGAAACGGUAGCUAAUACCGCAUACCAUCUGAUGUGCCCAGAUGGGAUUUGCUAGUAGGUGGGGUAACGGCUCACCUAGGCGACGCGCCCUAGCUGGUCUGUGAGGAUGACCAGCCACACUGGAACUGAGACACGGUCCAGGCGCCUGCGGGAGGCAGCAGUGGGGAAUAUUGCACAGUGGGGGCAAGCCUGAUGCAGCCAUGUCGCGUGUGUGAAGAAGGCCUUCGGGUUGUAAAGCACUUUCAGCGGGGAGGCGGUACCCGCAGAAGAAGCACCGGCUAACUCCGUGCCAGCAGCCGCGGUAAUAC